AUGGAACACUGGGAGAGCUGGAAAGGCCGGCUGAGAGAAAGACCCUAUAAUGUCUUUGACCCCUAUCACCUGAUCUGGAUUAUGCCAGCGUAGGAAAGUGUAAGGAUAUUAGG
rnacentral:ncRNA from 2 species